GAGCUGCUGUAGCCCCUACGUGGUGAGUAGAUCGUCUCCACAGAAAUCAGCGGAGGCUUCCACAGUCCCUGGUUGGAAUGGAACCGGCGGUGAGGAUGAGAGGCGCUGAAGACCAGAAGACCCAGGGCGUGAACGGGGCGUGUCAUCCCUGGAGUUUCAGUAGAAUUUCAGGCCUGUCUGCUUGAGCAGCAGAGGAGGAGUUUCUGUGUGCCUGUGAGAGACUGUGUGUGUGUGUGUGUGUGUGUGUGUGUGUGAGAUGAAUGAACAGGGUUGUGUACGUGUGUGUGCGUUAGACAAAUGAACAGUGUUGUGUACCUGUGUGAAUUGUCACUGUGACUCCAGGCUCUAGGCUCUGCAGAUUCCUCAGCCCUAUCGCCUCACAGACACUUGGGAUGUGCAGCAGGUAAAAGAGAGAAGCCAGAUUCAUGGAGGCGUGAAGGAUCCCAGCAAGAAAACACAGACUUGAUCUUGAGACGAGAUUUUUGAAAUUGGUUGCGGCCUCAAGGCAGGCUCUGAGAAGACUCGAUAAAGAGUUCUCAGGAAUAGGCAUCCCUCCUGGAUAUUUCCCCCUUGGAAGCGCCGAGGAGCCAGCUCUAUGUUUGUAACCAUAGCAUUUCUAAAGCUCCAGCCCCAGGAACCUGCUGUGAAUUAGAGACAGAUUCCACCCUAGGCAUCACUGAUCUUGGCCUCUCUUGUAUUGGGAAGGUCAACACUGUUCCAGUUUCUCUCCUACUCCCAUCUGGUUGUGCUCGGUGAAGUAGGUGAGCAGUGCUACCCUUCUGUUAAAAAAAAAAAAAAAAAAAAGAUCCUGAAAGAGGAAAGAAUUUUUGCUACACAUCUGAAAGCUAAAGUCCAGUUGAACUCCAGAGGAGAACACAGCCCAGGUAACCCCUCGUUUGCAGCCUGUGAGACCAGCCUGAGGACAGCACCCAGCUAAACUCCAGGUCCAUGGAAACUGUGAGAUUUUAUAUAUUUAUGUUGUUUUAAGCUAAAUUCGUGGUAAUUGGUUAUGGUAGCAACUGAAAAUUAAUGCAGUAAGAAAGUCUAAGGAGAUCGGAAGAGACUAAAGAGAAAUAACAGCUAAAUGCAACGUAGAUUAAUGUGUGGGAUCCUGGAAAAGAAAAAGGACAUUAAUGGGAAAACAUAUUUGAAUAAGAUGUGCAAAUUUUUCGUAUUGUACCAAUGUUAAUUUCCUGGUUUUGAUAAUUAUCCUUUGGUUAUGUAAGAUAAACGCUAGAAUGAAGGGUAUAUGAGAACCCUCUGUACUACUCUUGCAACUUUUCUCUAAGUCUAAAAUAAGUGGAAAUUAAAAGUUAAAACAAAAAAAAAGGAAAAUUUUAUCUAUCCCAAGACCACAAAGUUAUUUUUCUGUUUCUUCCUCCAGAAUCUUUAUUGUUUGUUUUCACACUUAGACCUAUGAUCCAUCUUGAAUUUAUAUCUGUGUAUGUAGUGGGAUGAAGUUCAAAAUCAUUUUUUUCAUACAGAUAUCCAAGUGCACUGGCACCGUUUGUUAAAAACACUGGCCUUCUCUUAAGCUGCAGUCAGACUUUUACUGUAAAGCAUGGGCCCAUAUAUGUGCAGGAGUCUUUCUACUUUUCCGUUGGUCCUCUUUGUCAAUCUUUGUGCCAGCACCUCCAUUUUAAUUCCUGUAGCUUUAUAUUAUAUCUUGAUAAUCUGGUAAUAUAAGUUGAAGAACAACUUUGUUCUUCAAAAUCACUUUGUCUAUUCCAGGUUCUUUGCAUUGCUCUAUAAUUUUAGAAUGAGUUAAUUAAUUUUCUCAAAACAAACAAAACGCCCUGCUGACAUUUUGUUGGCAGUACAUUGAAUCAGUAGAUAAAUUUAGAGAGAAUUAUCUCAAAAUUGAGUCUUACAGUUCAUGAACAUGGAAUACAUUUCCAUUUAUUGAAUUCAUCUUUAAUUUCUUUCCUUAAGGUUUUGUUGUUUCCUGUCUAAAGGUCUUGCACAUCUGUUAAAUUUAUUCCUGUUUUACAUUUUUUAUGUUUUUACAAACUGUUAAGGUUUUAAAAAUUUUAUUUUUCAGUAGCUUUGCUUUAAUAUAAUUGUUUUAUACUUUUACCCUUUAUUCAGCAAUAAAUUAUUUAAUUUAAAGCUUGUGGAAUUAAAAAAUAUUUUUAUGUACAUAAUCAUGUAAUCUACACUAUCUGCAAAUAAAGAUCAUUUUACUUCCUUCCA
rnacentral:lncRNA from 1 species